UGGGUUAUCAGGACUCCACAGUUUUUACUGUUAUUGUGAAUACCCCUUUACCAUUAUAAAAAUAUUUAGAGAAAUGUGAAAUGGGUUGAUGUACAUUUGUGUCUAUUUAGGCAUCAUUAAGAAAACAGUUCCUACAAUGUCUCAUUAUUAAAUUGUAAACUGUUGUUCAGCAAGAAAAAGAACAAGUUCAUUGGAGUUCCCCAUUUUCCUGAAAAAUCAAGAUGGGAAGGUAAAAUUAUACUGUCUAACUUUUGCAAGCAAAUUUAUGAAAGAAUGUUGGCUUGUCUAAGCUGACUCUACUGCCCAGUGUUAUUUGUCUGUGCUGAAAAUGUUUUACAUCUCCUGCUUUGCAAUUUUCUUUUCAUCGAUAUAUUUGUCAUUCCUUACAGACCUAAAUUUUGUCAUUUAUUAAUCACCUUGUUUUUAUUUCUAGGAAGACUUGAGCCUCUUGUCAGCAGACUUGGGUUUGAAUAAACAGUUUAUAUUUAUGAAAAUCUAACUCUUCUGUUAAAGAGAGUGAUUUGCACAUUUGAAUAAUAUGAAGGAGGUUCAGAUGGCAAAGCCAUCAAGUUCCCUGAACACAGUGGAGAGCUUUGCAAGGUCACUGGUUGGAAAUGGAUAGUGCAGGCUUAUUGGGUUUGAGUACUGAUACUUUUAAUGAAUGAUUUCCUUGUUGUACAGGCAGAUUUAACGCAUUGGAUUGACAACUUAAGAGUUCUGAUGAGUUCUGACUCUCUGUCUCUCUCUGUGUUUGUGUGUAUGAGAGAGAGAAAGAAAGGGAGAGACAGAGACAGAGAAAGGGAGAAAGAGAGAAAAGGAGAGAGCCCUUUACCUCUUCUGUUCUUUGAAGAAGAGAACAACACCUCCCAAAAGGUUAUUAAAUAAUACAUGAAGACAAUGGCUGAUGAAAUAUAGACGGUUCUGAGGUUUCUGUACAAGUGACAUAGAGGCAUGGAGAUGAGCCAUGGGAGAGCUCUUCUCACUGCCUUGAUAUGUUAGAUGUGGCCAUCUUCUGCACCCGGCCAGCCCUGGAGAAAAAGAAGGACCAGGCCAGUACAAGCCUCAAAUGCACUGUAUCGAGGCAGACAGAGAUCAGAUUGCCGGCGAGUAAUAGAGAUGAAUGAAAUCAAGGGUGGCCUAAAUCAACACUAAAGGAUACACACUUUUACCAAAGGGUGCUGUUAUUUACGACGAAGAACAAGGAAGAGAAGCGUCUCUUGUGAAUCACCAGGCAGGUGUUUGCUCCCUGGGGAAGUGAUAGGAAGCCCAUCCCUGA